AACGAACGCUGGCGGCAUGCCUAACACAUGCAAGUCGAACGAGACCUUCGGGUCUAGUGGCGCACGGGUGCGUAACGCGUGGGAACCUGCCCUUAGGUUCGGAAUAACUCCCCGAAAGGGGUGCUAAUACCGGAUAAUGUCUUCGGACCAAAGAUUUAUCGCCUUUGGAUGGGCCGGCGUUGGAUUAGCUAGUUGGUAGGGUAAAAGCCUACCAAGGCGACGAUCCAUAGCUGGUCUGAGAGGAUGAUCAGCCACACUGGGACGGAGACACGGCCCAGACUCCUACGGGAGGCAGCAGUGGGGAAUAUUGGACAGUGGGCGAAAGCCUGAUCCAGCAAGGCCGCGUGAGUGAUGAAGGCCUUAGGGUUGUAAAGCUCUUGUACCCGGGAUGAUAAUGACAGUACCGGGAGAAUAAGCUCCGGCUAACUCCGUG
rnacentral:rRNA from 1 species